GUACGGGGGGGGCAAGCGUUGUUCGGAAUUACUGGGCGUAAAGGGCUCGUAGGCGGCCAACUAAGUCAGACGUGAAAUCCCUCGGCUUAACCGGGGAACUGCGUCUGAUACUGGAUGGCUUGAGUUUGGGAGAGGGAUGCGGAAUUCCAGGUGUAGCGGUGAAAUGCGUAGAUAUCUGGAGGAACACCGGUGGCGAAGGCGGCAUCCUGGACCAACACUGACGCUGAGUGAGCGAAAGCCAGGGGAGCAAAGCGGG
rnacentral:rRNA from 1 species